UACGUAGGGCGCAAGCGUUGUCCGGAAUUAUUGGGCGUAAAGAGCUCGUAGGCGGCCAGUUGCGUCUGCUGUGAAAUCCCGGGGCUCAACCCCGGGCGUGCAGUGGAUACGGGCUGGCUAGAGGCAGGCAGGGGAGAACGGAAUUCCCGGUGUAGCGGUGAAAUGCGCAGAUAUCGGGAGGAACACCGGUGGCGAAAGCGAGGUCCUGGACGCCUACUGACGCUGAGACGCGAAAGCCAGGGGAGCGAACGGG
rnacentral:rRNA from 1 species